rnacentral:lncRNA from 1 species
UAAUUUUAUAUUUGAUUUCGGUGGCGUGUAAAGAAUCGGUCUUUGAUUUUAUUUUCUGUUGAAUAGUUAUAUAAUAAAAAGUACGUGUUGCAGUUAGCACGCCAACAUCUAUGGUCGUCAUGUUUCUUCUUCACGAUUAAAUGUGGAAAAUUAAUGAGAUUCCUAACUGCGCGCUUUCAUUUGGUUAAUCUUUAUAGCAGUGGAUCAAUAGAAAUUUAGAAACAAAUGAAACGAUGGCUGUCGGUGUCGGAUACUGCCCCCACAGCCACAGGCUCUCGAAUCUAAUAGAGUCAGGGGGAUGAAGCGGAUGGUUCAGGGUGAUGAAGCGGAUGGUUCUGCGAGGCUGAGACUAGUCUAACCACUGGUUUGUUUGUCUGCUGGUAUUGGCCCAUUUUUUCCAAUUUCUUAUCUUCAGUCUUCUCACUUGCCUUCUAUGCGGCUUCCCUGGAGCCCAACACCUACCAUUUUC